rnacentral:tRNA from 1 species
GUGGGUGUGGUGGAAUUGGUAGACACGGUAGUCUCAAAAGCUUCUGACCCUUAAGGUUUUGUGAGUUCAAGUCUCACCGCCCAU